rnacentral:rRNA from 1 species
CGGAAGCCUGAUCCAGCAACGCCGCGUGAGGGAUGACGGCCUUCGGGUUGUAAACCUCUUUCAGUACCGACGAAGCGAAAGUGACGGUAGGUACAGAAGAAGCACCGGCCAACUACGUGCCAGCAGCCGCGGUAAUACGUAGGGUGCGAGCGUUGUCCGGAAUUAUUGGGCGUAAAGGGCUCGUAGGCGGUUUGUCGCGUCGGGAGUGAAAACACUGGGCUUAACUCAGUGCUUGCUUCCGAUACGGGCAGACUAGAGGUAUGCAGGGGAGAACGGAAUUCCUGGUGUAGCGGUGAAAUGCGCAGAUAUCAGGAGGAACACCGGUGGCGAAGGCGGUUCUCUGGGCAUUACCUGACGCUGAGGAGCGAAAGUGUGGGGAGCGAACAGGAUUAGAUACCCUGGUAGUCCACACCGUAAACGUUGGGCGCUAGGUGUGGGAUCCAUUCCACGGGUUCCGUGCCGCAGCUAACGCAUUAAGCGCCCCGCCUGGGGAGUACGGCCGCAAGGCUA